GCCGCCGCCUCGCUGUGAUGCUCUCCCGAUCUCCACGUCUCGUAGGGGACGACCCGAGGCUGUCGAUCGACGUGCCGACUUCAUCAUUGAAACCCUUGUAUGAACUUUACCACUAUUAGGUUGCAGAUGAAUUUAUCAAGGUGGACAUUGGCGGUGUGAAUAAGCACCUAUAAGGCUAUCCAACACGCGAUAGGUGGGCACAACAGCUUAUCAAUGGGCACCAGACGACCGUGACGACUAUCUAGGAGGGAGCAGGGGAAGACAAUGGCAACGAUUUGCUAGAGAUGCAGGCAUCUGACCCUGAGGCGUACAAUGACAAGGUCAUCAGAGCGCUCUGUGUGUGAGCUAUAUGCACCUUUGAACGCGGUGCUCCUCCUGGAGCUUCAUCACAAGGCUGGUGGUGAUGUCUGUGUCUGCUACAGCUGCUAAGGGCAGCCGAUAGCCUUUUGAUCAUCUCGGCAUGUUAUAGAAGAAGAAAUGCUUCUAGCUGUAAAGGAAAGGAAGGCAAAGAUCAUCUUAUGGAAUAAUUUGUGUGCCGUCGCAACGCAUAGUUAUGGUGAUAUGCCUGUUCACAAUCUUCUGUGGAGGGAGUGUGCAAAGUCCUCAUGUGACGUUUCCACAUGGUUGGCAUGGAUUCCUUUUGGUCCAGGUACCACAUCAUUGUUGCUUCCUUCUGUGUGAUGCUUGUCCUAUGUAUAUGCUUUAUUUUUGUACUUGAACUUAAUAGUCUUCAGUCUUCACUUGGUAGUUGUAGUUUAUGUUUUAGGUGAGAAUGCUUGUUGAAGAACUCUACAUUGUUAAAAUUGACCAAUAUGUUGAUUAUUAGAACCUUGAUAUGAAGCCAGAGGCCUUGAUGUUGGACCAAGAUUAGUCCAAAGGUUAUCUGGUUUUGGGGACCAUCGAUCUGCAGACAUUGUGGCAAGAGUUCAGGUAUGGCAAAUUCAAACAAGAAGCAACACAAAAAAAUUUAGAGGUGAGAGACUGUUAUUUUUUUAUGAUGUUGUUUUGCUAUGGAGCUAAACUGGCAAUAUGUUCUUGACAGACCCAUGAUAGAUUAGCUUGUAUUGUUGAGAUGGAGCAAGAGAAUGCAAGUUUGAAUGGCUUUGUGCCACUUGAUGUACAUGAGAGAUUGGGUAGGCGCUAUACUAAUUAUUUACCAUAUUUAAAUCAGUCUUCUUAACCCCGAAAACUACAGAAUAUCUUAUUAGCCAUAACUGUCAUUCAUAUAAUCAUAUCCUUUUUCAGUGUCAUGUCUUAACUUUCCACUUUGAGAUAAAGAGCAUUGUUGGGUCUAUGCUUCGUCGCCGAAGGUCCUCAAAAACAGGAUUUAACAGUAUUUCUAGAGUAUAAUGUGUGAACAGGUAUCUUCGGAUCCAAGUCGGCGUCACGGCAGACCAGAGUAAUACGAAGGUUGAUACAACGCCGAAGGUGUACGCAGGAAAGCUUCGGCGCGACAACAAAAAGUGAAACCGACUUAAAGAUGAAAAGGCUAUUUAGACCUCGGCAGAUUACUAUAGAAUUAUUACCAAGUGUAAAGGGCAUGAAUGUAAUUUUGUAUGGGUUGUGUCCCGUGCCUAUAAAUAGAUGAACAGUACCCUC